rnacentral:rRNA from 1 species
GAUGAACGCUGGCGGCGUGCCUAAUACAUGCAAGUCGAGCGAACGGACGAGAAGCUUGCUUCUCUGAUGUUAGCGGCGGACGGGUGGGUAACACGUGGAUAACCUACCUAUAAGACUGGGAUAACUUCGGGAAACCGGAGCUAAUACCGGAUAAUAUUUUGAACCGCAUGGUUCAAAAGUGAAAGACGGUCUUGCUGUCACUUAUAGAUGGAUCCGCGCUGCAUUAGCUAGUUGGUAAGGUAACGGCUUACCAAGGCAACGAUGCAUAGCCGACCUGAGAGGGUGAUCGGCCACACUGGAACUGAGACACGGUCCAGACUCCUACGGGAGGCAGCAGUAGGGAAUCUUCCGCAAUGGGCGAAAGCCUGACGGAGCAACGCCGCGUGAGUGAUGAAGGUCUUCGGAUCGUAAAACUCUGUUAUUAGGGAAGAACAUAUGUGUAAGUAACUGUGCACAUCUGGACGGUACCUAAGCAGAAAGCCACGGCUAACUACGU